GUACGAUUGUGCUGCACAUUAGCAAAGAAAUACCUGUGCAUUUGGCACAAGGGCGAAUUCUCAUCUUCGGGGGAGAGAAGUUGGGAAAGUACUGUAAUGUACAAAAUAUGAGGGUUCAGAAAGGAUUUUUUUCUCCCUUUCUGACUCUGCCAUUAUAGCCCUCCUGCACUGGGAACUGGAUUUCCCAGUGCCUGCCAAAAACUUCCAGAUAUCCUGGGGGAGUUCCCACAGUGCAAACACAGAAAAAUGCUACUGAUGAGCUCUUAUUCUAAUACACUUGAACAGCUUGAAUCUGCAUUAUCAAAAGUUUUCCAAGCUCUUCAGGCAUAAAACCAUUUACGGUGCACUUCCCAGGUAAUUUUAGAAGUAGAAUUUGUCUCAUGGGAGAUUGAUUGGCCCCACUCAUCAUACCCCUCGAGUGUCAGAUGCUUUGGAUCUCACUGCUGGCUGGGAGCAGCCCAACUUGGGGCAGUGCUGCAUUGCAACAAGAAGCUCGACUGCUCACCAGGAACCUCAGCACUG
rnacentral:lncRNA from 1 species